AACGAACGCUGGCGGCGCGCUUAACACAUGCAAGUCGAGCGAGAACCAGGGCUUCGGCCCUGGGGACAGCGGCGAACGGGUGAGUAACACGUGGGUAAUCUGCCCUCGGCAUCGGGAUAGCCCGGGGAAACCCGGAUUAAUACCGAAUAGCCUCCGGAGCUCUCGGGCGCCGGAGAAAAGGUAGCUUCGGCCUCUGGCCGAGGAUGAGCCCGCGGCGGAUUAGCUUGUUGGCGGGGUAACGGCCCACCAAGGCGACGAUCCGUAGCUGGUCUGAGAGGACGAUCGGCCACACUGGGACUGAGACACGGCCCAGACUCCUACGGGAGGCAGCAGUGGGGAAUCUUGCGCUAAUGCGGGAAACCGUGACGCAGCGACGCCGCGUGGGGGAAGAAGGCCUUCGGGUUGUAAACCUCUUUCAGGAGGGACGAAGCUACUCGGGUGAAUAGCCCAGAGGGUGACGGUACCUCCAGAAGAAGCCCCGGCUAACUACGUGCCAGCCGCCGCAGUAACAC
rnacentral:rRNA from 1 species